GACAUUCAGAGAAGCGGAAAUUUACACAUAUUGCAUGAAUGCCACAGGUCCUCCUUGCAUAAAGUUGUCCUGUUUCUCGACGAUCGCAGUGAUCAAUGCCAAAAUACUUUCUAAAAUAAAGUUG